CAUGUCCUUCAGUUUUAAAUUUAAGGUUUGACCUGCCCAGUGAAAAUUAAAUGGCCGCGGUAUUUUGACCGUGCAAAGGUAGCAUAAUAAUUAGUUUUUUUAUUGGAAACUGGAAUGAAUGGUUGGACGAGAUUAUUUCUGUCUCUUUUUUAUUUUUUGUAGAAAUUAAUUUUUAAGUUAAAAAGCUUAAAUUUUUUAAUGGGACGAGAAGACCCUAUAGAGUUUUAUAUUUAAUUAAAUUUUUAGUUUUAGAAUUUAUUGUUAAGUUUGGUUUCAAUAUUUUGUUGGGGUGACAAAGAGAUUAAAUUAACUCUUUUUAAUUUUUUAUACUGGUAAGUAAAUUAUUGAUCCUUUAUUGUGAUUAAAAGAUUAAAUUACCUUAGGGAUAACAGCGUUAUUUUUUUAGAGAGUUCUUAUCGAUAAAAUAGAUUGCGACCUCGAUGUUGGAUUAAAGUUUAUUUUGGGUGCAAAAGCUUGAUAAUUAGGUCUGUUCGACCUUUGAAACUUUACAUGAUCUGAGU
rnacentral:rRNA from 1 species